CCUACGGGUGGCAGCAGUCGAGAAUUUUUCUCAAUGGGGGAAACCCUGAAGGAGCGACGCCGCGUGGAGGAUGAAGGUCUUCGGAUUGUAAACUCCUGUCAUUUGGGAACUAGUACCAGAAGAGGAAGAGACGGCUAACUCUGUGCCAGCAGCCGCGGUAAUACAGAGGUCUCAAGCGUUGUUCGGAUUCAUUGGGCGUAAAGGGUGCGUAGGUGGCGGGGUAAGUCAGGUGUGAAAUCUCGAGGCUCAACCUCGAAACUGCACUUGAUACUGCCUUGCUCGAGUACUGGAGAGGAGAUUGGAAUUUACGGUGUAGCAGUGAAAUGCGUAGAUAUCGUAAGGAAGACCAGUGGCGAAGGCGAAUCUCUGGACAGUACUGACACUGAGGCACGAAGGCCAGGGGAGCAAACGGGAUUAGAUACCCUUGUAGUC
rnacentral:rRNA from 1 species